rnacentral:lncRNA from 1 species
CCCUGUACUGAAUAAUUUUGGGAGCGACUGGAUGAUGAUGAUUACAAGCCAGGUAACCGAAAGAGUCCUUCUGCCCGUUGGCUAGCUAGCUGUUCUUGUCUUACCAUUAUAUGUCUUCCUUAAUAUUGAUUUGUGAAUUAUUUCUUUUUUCAGACUAUGCAGGAGGACUGCAUGUGAUGAGUUAAGGCACAAGAACUACGACCAUUUUAGCUCCAGCAGUAAGUACACAACUAAUCAACAAUGCAUUUUCACGACCCAGACUUCUGCAUUCUGGUUGACAGGCUCGCUGGCACAACCACAUAAUCUCAUGCAUUCAGAUUGCUAGCUACACGAAAUACGCCCAGAUCUACGAGUAGGAAUCCAAGGUAACACUUAUUGCUUACAAGUAUUUACUUCAUUUUUCUUCAUGUAAAAAGAGAAUGCAAGCUGAAAUAUAAAGUCUGCAGAUUCCUCAUGUAUGUUCAAUUUCCAGAAUAGGAAGAACCAUACCAACAACAUACAUACAUAUUACAGUUCUGCAUUUUAAAUUUGAAGACCAAGGCAAAGCCCGAUCGAUGUAAUUGGAGGUGAAUGUAUGUUUUCUUGCUUGUAUUUAAUCUUAGAAAACAGAAUCUCAUCAAGUGAAAAUCUGCAGGCAUUGCAGUCCAAUUGUUCGAUUGUAACCAGACGUGUGACUGAAUAUUGCUUCGAACAUGUGAUUCUGCAAAGUUGAGGAAGUUGAGGAAGUAUGGACUCAGAUCCUUUAAGGGUUUGUUUCCAUACUGUGGGACAGCAGGAUCUGAGUCCCACUAUGAGGGAUCAAC